ensembl:lncRNA
CAGGUCUAAACCAGGUCUAAACCAGGACUAAACCAGGUCUAAACCAGGUCUAAACCAGGACUAAACCAGGACUGAACCAGGACUAAACCAGGUCUAAACCAGGUCUAAACCAGGACUAAACCAGGUCUAAACCAGGACUAAACCAGGACUAAACCAGGUCUAAAUCAAGUCUAAACCAGGACUAAACCAGGACUAAACCAGGUCUAAACCAGGACUAAACCAGGUCUAAACCAGGUCUAAACCAGGACUAAACCAGGACUAAACCUGGACUAAACCAGGACUAAACCUGGACUAAACCAGGACUAAACCAGGACUAAACCAGGUCUAAACCAGGACUAAACCAGGUCUAAACCAGGUCUAAACCAGGUCUAAACCAGGACUAAAUCAAGA